GUUAAAUGUUUUAAAGAUAAUCCAUGGAGACCAUAAUACUAUCUCUAAAUGCAUGGGAAUUACAUUUAUUGCAUAAGAGGAAACUAUUGUUAGAAGAUGCCAAAAGGUGGGAGCCCAUAUAAUUUGUUUGCAGUAAACCCACUUCGCUAAAGGCAAAAUACCCUACUUUGCACAUAAAAACUAUAUAAUAUAAUAAAGAUAUGGAAUAAUCAAAUAUUCAACUCCCUUUUAGCCUAUACUCCUCAGUAAUG